rnacentral:rRNA from 1 species
GAUGAACGCUGGCGGCGUGCCUAAUACAUGCCAGUCGAGCGAACAGAUGAGGAGCUUGCUCCUCUGACGUUAGCGGCGGACGGGUGAGUAACACGUGGAUAACCUACCUAUAAGACUGGGAUAACUUCGGGAAACCGGAGCUAAUACCGGAUAAUAUAUUGAACCGCAUGGUUCAAUAGUGAAAGACGGUUUUGCUGUCACUUAUAGAUGGAUCCGCGCCGCAUUAGCUAGUUGGUAAGGUAACGGCUUACCAAGGCAACGAUGCGUAGCCGACCUGAGAGGGUGAUCGGCCACACUGGAACUGAGACACGGUCCAGACUCCUACGGGAGGCAGCAGUAGGGAAUCUUCCGCAAUGGGCGAAAGCCUGACGGAGCAACGCCGCGUGAGUGAUGAAGGUCUUCGGAUCGUAAAACUCUGUUAUUAGGGAAGAACAAAUGUGUAAGUAACUAUGCACGUCUUGACGGUACCUAGUCAGAAAGCCACGGCUAACUACGUG